rnacentral:tRNA from 1 species
GCACCUAUGGUCGAGUGGAUUAGGCAACUGUCUUCUAAGCAGUUUUAGGUGGGUUCGAGUCCUACUAGGUGUA